rnacentral:tRNA from 2 species
UCUGCGAUUUAUGCACUCCCUUGGUAAGGGAGAGGUCGAGAGUUCAAUCCUCUCUCGCAGCA